GUCAAGAACGAUUAAUUGACCAAUAUGCUGCGAAUGCAGUCAUUCUAAAGUAAAAUGCGGUCAAUUGCUUCAAUUGGAACAGUUUCCAAUUUAAUCUAAGGAAGAUGAUUUAAUUCAGUUUAACGAAGAAAUCACUCCCGUUGAAGUAGUUGCUGCAUCAAUGAGACGCGUUAUUGACAAAUAACCAAUUACGCGAAGGAUUUCGUGGAAUUUUGGAGAAAGUAUACUCAUAAAUUACAACUUUGAUGGUAUAGAAGGCAAGAAGUCCUUAAGAACGUUAAAGAAUGUGACUGCAGCACUUUUUGAUGCUUUAAGGACAGAUGAUAAGCCGGAGCAAGUGAUCGGAUCGAGUUUGGAAAUCUCUUCAAGUCUCUAGUAACAAUUCCACAGAAAAAUAUUCUUAAA